CAAGAGUGAAACUCCGUCUCAAAAACAAAAAACAAAAAAACCCCAAAAAACCUUGAUACUAGGGGUGGGGAUUUUUCCCUCAGAGUGGAAUGAGGAGGCCUCUGGGAUUCUGGAUUUAUUCAGUCAUUUUUGCUCCAAGUUCUGAAGAUGGGAAAUGGUGCAGGAGGACUGAGCUCCAAUAUAUCUCAGUCUCAAUAUGUGGUCAUCAGGAUGCUCCUCAAGGAACUUAAUCCGUGAGAUCAGACAGAUUUUCAACAGGUAAAUCUACUUUGAGGAUCACAUCAGAGGCACAAAUGGAUGCAGUGAGGAAGAACCGUCACUCCAUCGGCAGUUGGGGAAUGAGUGAAGGAGCGGAGAAGCAGCCUGAGAACCAAAUUCUGCAAACAUUAGCAACUUAUAAAACAUCCACAGAGUGUGAGUGCAUAACAAAUAAAAACAGAGAAGAGUGAAUGACAACAUCCUGUCUAGGUAUGCAGGGGGAAAAAACAUGUUUCCUUACACUUAGAGACUCAGGCAAAACGAGCCUGCAGGGGAAUGGCAAAUAGGGCUUGAAGGAAAUUUAGUAAAAAAUAUUUGGAAUUUGUAGAGCCUCCUGAGUAUACGGAGGCUUAGAAGAAUGUCCUCUUUGGACCAGGCCUAAUUUAGCAUUGCCUGAAAUAAUCCUAGGCUCUGCCUUUGGUAAGCCCUGUGGUGUGAUGAGGGUCAUCCACCCUCAUCACUGCUCUGGGGAAUAAUUGUUUGGGUCCGAAGUGUCUGCCCCUUACUGCUGCCCCUUGUUCUUUAAUCUCUGUACUCCCUGUUCUUCCAGGAAUGCACCUGGCAUAUAUUUGAUGGUUGACAUGUGUGUUUUGAAUGAAUGAAUGGCCAAAUUCUUUGGUAGGAAAUAACAGGCAGUAAGCACAGUGCUUAAGAGUACCAGACAGAGGUAGGUUCAAAUUCUGGUUGUUACCACUUACAGAUUCUGGUUGCUGAAGGUUGUGUAACCUUAGGCAAGUUAAUUAUGUUCCCUGGACCUUGGUUUUCCAAUCUGUAUAAUGACACCAAUCUCAGAGUGUUGUGAGGAUUAAGUGGAAGAGUGUUUGUGGUAUGCCUGAUAUAGUGUCUGGGGCAUAAGUAGUAUUCAAUAAAUGGUAGAUAUUGUUGGAUAAUAAGGCACUUUCACCUUCCAGAGUAUUUGCAAUUUAACAGAGUAACUUAAAGGAAAACAGACCUGCUGUUGGAGUUGAAGUUAGGGAGAUAAGAGGACAGGGCAAUGGGUUGAAAGAGAGUUGGACUGUGGAGCUCAAACAGGGUCAAGGCGAGCAGUUUGGGAACAAGUCUAAGAAGGGUUUGGAGACCUGCUAUGUAGCAUUGGAUGGGUCUGAACUUGGAAUAAGCUAUAUAGAAUCAAGGAGGAUGACUCUAGCCUGGUCCUUUAAGCUAAGGAGGCCUUGGUUUUUUCACUUAAAAAUGAAGGUGUUAGACUAUUAGGUGGUCUCUAACAUUUCAUGGUUCUAGGGCACACUGAAAUUGAGAUAGAUUUUAAAGGGCAUGUAAAUAAUCCAGAAGAUCAAUGACAGGACUAGAGUUGGAGUUCUGAACAGUGCUAUCGCGCUGGAGGGUAAGGGCAUUUAAUUCCUCAUGCAUUCUUCAUGUAAUUAACUUUAGUGUUUGAGGGAAAAUGAAGAAUGAGGGAAGAAUUUUUUUUCUUAACUGACUUGCUGCUUUUGAAGACCCGUGUUACCAUAAGAUUGAUGGGAAACGUAUUGCCUCUGUCCUCAUGGUGCUCAGGCUCAGAAAUUCAUUAGAAUUCCGUCUUGAGAAAGACAAUGCUCCAUGCUUUGUAUACUAUCACACACGGGAAGUAAUAUUAUCAUUAAAAAAUUAUCAUGUUGAAUUUUUGAUGGUGCUCUGCUUGUUUGCAAUUUUAUUAUUCAUAGGUGUUAGCUCUGUAAUUACAAAUCAUGUUGUUAGGAUUUUGGUGCAGAUUCUGACAUCAAAUUUGGUUUGUCAAUAGAUGGGAUGAGCAUGUCAAGGAAAUAGAGGAUGAUGACAAUGGAUAAAAUCCCAUUUGGUUUCUACAGCUAAUAAUCUUGUUCAGAGUACAAGAUUAUUUGAACACUGUAAUACGAUUUCCACAUUAAAAGCACGUUCCAGUCCAUUCAAAAAUUAAGUAAACAGAGCAGAGGCAUACAGUUCCACUAAUCCACGAAUGUCAUAAAUCUAAUGAUUUUAGCAGCUCAAGGAAAACAGAGAUUAUUGUAAAACUUCACAUCUGAAUGUGUUAUUGCCUCUACCAAUGAUUAUUUGUCAUUUAUCUGACACUAAAGGUGUAAACUCCACAUUACAGGAGUCAAAGGUUUUGCAUAAAACAAAACAAAGCCUCUUUCUCCAAGGCUUACACUCUGAAAGUGUGCCAGGAACUUAUGAGAAUGUGUUAAAGAAAUCAAUGAGAGGUGUGGGACUAAUAUGCCUGGAGUUGGCCUUGGAAAGGACACAUUUUUUAUAAAGGAAAACCAGGAAUAUAUAUGUACAAACUAUGCAAACUUUUCUAAGAUGAAGUAUGUUUAGAAAAAUCUGGGAUCUCCUUUGGCCAUCAAUCAUUCAUGGUACAAAAUGGUCCCCGACAUCUAUACGUUCCUGUAUUUUUCCUUCCAGAGUUUAGAAAGCGAUGGAAGAAUAAUAGAAGGAACACAUUUAAAUCUUUGAUUUAUCUAUGGAAGCAUUAGACUUUCAAGCAUAACUUUUCAUAAGUUAGUGAUAGUUUCCUGAAAUCUUACUUUUAGCACUGUAGGUUUAAAAAUACUGCUUAUUUUAUACGUAAUAGAACUUGUUCAGAAGGUCAAACAGAAAUGAAACUUGGUCAGGAAGAGUUCAUGCUGUUUACAUGAUCUCUCCUCUAGGCACCAAAAUUUUCGGUGCACUUGUAAAUUGGAUCUGACCAGUCUUAGCAACAGCAGUAGAAAUGGCAGCCUUAUUUAUGGAAUUCCUCUCUUAUUUGGAGUAUUCGAAUUCUUUGAAUUCUUCUUUUUUUUUUUUUUUU